UACGGAAGGCAGCAGUGGGGAAUAUUGCACAAUGGGCGCAAGCCUGAUGCAGCCAUGCCGCGUGUAUGAAGAAGGCCUUCGGGUUGUAAAGUACUUUCAGUCGUGAGGAAGGUGUUAAGGUUAAUAACCUUAGCAAUUGACGUUAGCGACAGAAGAAGCACCGGCUAACUCCGUGCCAGCAGCCGCGGUAAUACGGAGGGUGCGAGCGUUAAUCGGAAUUACUGGGCGUAAAGGGCACGCAGGCGGUUAAUUAAGUUGGAUGUGAAAUCCCCGGGCUUAACCUGGGAAUGGCAUUCAAGACUGGUUAGCUAGAGUCUUGUAGAGGGGGUAGAAUUCCAUGUGUAGCGGUGAAAUGCGUAGAGAUGUGGAGGAAUACCGGUGGCGAAGGCGGCCCCUGGGACAAAGGCUGACGCUCAUGUGCGAAAGCGUGGGGAGCAAACG
rnacentral:rRNA from 1 species